rnacentral:lncRNA from 1 species
GUCGCUGACCUCCCUACUAAUCUUCGCGCUCGUCUCCCUCCCCUCCCUCCUCCGCUCUCAGUAGCUUGCUCGUCGCCAAGAAGAGCCACCAGCUGGCUGCCAUGGACCGGUCCAAGUCGUACGCGGGCGGGCGCAUGCAGAUCGAGCCCUACUACGGCGGAGGCGCGCGGCCGGACUUCCGGUCCUACUCGUACAGCGCCGGCGGGGGCGGCGGUAUGGGGAUGUCGUCGUACUCGUACCAGUACGAGUACGGCGGCGGCGCGGCAGGGGCGGCGGCGGACGGGGACCUGAAGCGGAGCAAGUCGUCGAAGCGGCGGUGGCUGGCGCUAGGGGACCCGGACAUGGAGCGCAAGCGGCGGGUGGCGGCGUACAAGGCCUACGCCGUGGAGGGCAAGGUGAAGGGCUCCUUCCGCAAGAGCUUCAAGUGGAUCAAGG